AUUUUAAAAUUUUAUAAAUAUUGAUUCAAAUACAUCCACCAUAUAACCCAAUUCCAAAAUAAAACACGUUCUGUAAUUUCUUUACCCGGCCCAUGAUUGUUUUUUAAAGUAGUAAUUUUUAAAAUUUUAGAAUUAUUUUUUAUAUAUAAAAGUUUUGCAAAUUGUAUCAUUCUCUAAUACAUUUAUAUUUUAUAGUUUAAAUUAAAUUAAUUAAAAUUUAGAUAUCAAAUCUUAUAAGUUGAUUUUGAUUGGCUAUUAUUUUUGGAAAUUAAUAAUGUAUUUCGUUUUUUAAUUAAUUUA
rnacentral:sRNA from 1 species